UUCCGGUUGAUCCUGCCGGAGGCUACCGCUAUUGGAGUUCGAUUAAGCCAUGCGAGUCGCGAGUCUUAGGGACUCGGCGUACCGCUCAGUAACACGUGGGUAACCUGCCCUAUGCUGGGGGAUAACCUCGGGAAACUGAGAAUAAUACCCCAUAGUUCACCACGCCUGGAACGGUGGGUGGAUGAAAGCUCCGGCGGCAUAGGAUGGGCCUGCGGCGUAUCAGGUUGUAGGGGGUGUAAUGUACCCUCUAGCCAUCUACGCGUACGGGUGUUGGGAGACAUCGCCCGGAGAUGGAUUCUGAGACACGAAUCCAGACCCUACGGGGUGCAGCAGGCGCGAAAACUUCGCAAUGCGGGAAACCGUGACGAGGGAACUCCAAGUGUCUAUGCAUUGCAUAGACUGUUUUUUAGCCUAAAUAGCUAUUAGAGUAAGGGGUGGGCAAGACCGGUGCCAGCCGCCGCGGUAACACCGGCACCUCGAGUGGUAGCCACUAUUAUUGGGCCUAAAGCGUUCGUAGCCGGUUUGGUAAAUUCUUGGGUAAAUCGUACCGCUUAACGGUGCGGAUUCCGGGGACACUACCAGACUUGAGACCGGGGGAGAUCAGAGGUACUUGCGGGGGAGCGGUGAAAUGUUGUAAUCCCGCAGGGACCACCAGUGGCGAAGGCGUCUGAUCAGAACGGCUCUGACGGUGAGGAACGAAACCCUGGGGCGCAAACGGGAUUAGAUACCCCGGUAGUCCAGGGCGUAAACGCUGCUGACUUGGUGUUGGGGAUCCUACGAGGAUGUCCAGUGCUGGCGCGAAGGUAUUAAGUCAGCCGCCUGGGGAGUACGGUCGCAAGACUGAAACUUAAAGGAAUUGGCGGGGGAGCACUGCAACGUGUGGAGCGUGCGGUUUAAUUGGAUUCAACGCCGG
rnacentral:rRNA from 1 species